CAGUCGCCGCGGUAAUACGAAGGGUGCAAGCGUUAAUCGGAAUUACUGGGCGUAAAGCGUGCGUAGGCGGUUUGUUAAGUCUGCUGUGAAAUCCCCGGGCUCAACCUGGGAAUGGCAGUGGAUACUGGCUCGCUAGAGUGUGUCAGAGGAUGGUGGAAUUCCCGGUGUAGCGGUGGAAUGCGUAGAGAUCGGGAGGAACAUCAGUGGCGAAGGCGGCCAUCUGGGACAACACUGACGCUGAGGCACGAAAGCGUGGGGAGCAAACAGGAUUAGAUACCCCCGUAGUCCCUGUCUCUUAUAC
rnacentral:rRNA from 1 species